rnacentral:rRNA from 1 species
UGGGGAAUAUUGCGCAAUGGGCGAAAGCCUGACGCAGCAACGCCGCGUGGAGGAUGAAGGCUUUCGGGUUGUAAACUCCUUUCAGCAGGGACGAAACUGACGGUACCUGCAGAAGAAGCCCCGGCUAACUACGUGCCAGCAGCCGCGGUGAGACGUAGGGGGCAAGCGUUGUCCGGAUUUAUUGGGCGUAAAGAGCUCGUAGGCGGCUUGGCAAGUCGGAUGUGAAAUCUCCAGGCUUAACCUGGAGUCGCCAUCCGAUACUGCUAUGGCUAGAGUCCGGUAGAGGAUCGUGGAAUUCCUGGUGUAGCGGUGAAAUGCGCAGAUAUCAGGAGGAACACCAACGGCGAAGGCAGCGAUCUGGGCCGGUACUGACGCUGAGGAGCGAAAGCGUGGGGAGCGAACAGG